UCACAUUAAAAAAAAUACCUUUAAAGUCCCCACACUUAAUCAUUUUCAACCUACCAAGUCACCAAACAUAACCAUAUUCAAAACAAAAAACACAUUUAAAGUCCCAACACUUAAUCAUUUUUCACCUACUAAGUCAUCAAACAUAACCACUUUCAAAAUAAAAAAUAAAUUUAAAGUCCCUACACUUAAUCAUUUUCAACCUACCAAGUCACCAAAC
rnacentral:lncRNA from 1 species